UGAACGCUAGCGGCAGGCCUAACACAUGCAAGUCGAGGGGUAGAGUUCUUCGGGACUUGAGACCGGCGCACGGGUGCGUAACGCGUAUGCAAUCUACCUUAUACAGGGGAAUAGCCCAGAGAAAUUUGGAUUAAUGCCCCAUAGUGUUAUCGAAUCGCAUGGUUUGAUAACUAAAGUUCCAACGGUAUAAGAUGAGCAUGCGUCCCAUUAGUUAGUUGGUAAGGUAACGGCUUACCAAGACAAUGAUGGGUAGGGGUCCUGAGAGGGAGAUCCCCCACACUGGUACUGAGACACGGACCAGACUCCUACGGGAGGCAGCAGUGAGGAAUAUUGGUCAAUGGGCGCAAGCCUGAACCAGCCAUGCCGCGUGCAGGAAGAAGCAUCUAUGGUGUGUAAACUGCUUUUAUACAGGAAGAAACAACUCUACGUGUAGAGUCUUGACGGUACUGUAGGAAUAAGGAUCGGCUAACUCCGUGCCAGCAGCCGCGGUAAUACGGAGGAUCCAAGCGUUAUCCGGAAUCAUUGGGUUUAAAGGGUCCGUAGGCGGCCUUAUAAGUCAGUGGUGAAAUCUCCUAGCUCAACUAGGAAACUGCCAUUGAUACUGUAAGGCUUGAAUUUUUGUGAAGUAACUAGAAUAUGUAGUGUAGCGGUGAAAUGCUUAGAUAUUACAUGGAAUACCAAUUGCGAAG
rnacentral:rRNA from 1 species